rnacentral:misc_RNA from 1 species
GAAAAUGAAGCAAACAAAAUAAGUACAACUGCAUUUAUAGAUUGCUAUAACAACCUUCCAUUACAACACUUUCACCAUGGUAAGUUUAAGUUGAAAGAACCCUAUACUUGUCAGCCAAUAAAAUGAACUUGGCUGCACAGCUCAAAAACAGAUCAACAUUGGUUUUCUAUCUUGUGCCCUGAGUCCCCGACUACACAACUGAGUAUGAAAAAAAGAAAAAAACUAAAAGACAAAUAAGACUGACCCAUUGCUAAUUUCCUCAAAACUCCAAGAAUACUGGCACAAAAUUUAAAGUUAAUUUUCAACAGACCAUAAAAUUGAAACUAUACAUGUUAGAAAUCUAGAGAUUAUAUCAGUGAGAAUUAAGC